rnacentral:rRNA from 1 species
AAUGGCAUAAGCCAGCUUAACUGCGAGACGGACAGGUCGAGCAGGUACGAAAGUAGGUCAUAGUGAUCCGGUGGUUCUGAAUGGAAGGGCCAUCGCUCAACGGAUAAAAGGUACUCCGGGGAUAACAGGCUGAUACCGCCCAAGAGUUCAUAUCGACGGCGGUGUUUGGCACCUCGAUGUCGGCUCAUCACAUCCUGGGGCUGAAGUCGGUCCCAAGGGUAUGGCUGUUCGCCAUUUAAAGUGGUACGCGAGCUGGGUUCAGAACGUCGUGAGACAGUUCGGUCCCUAUCUGCCGUGGGCGUUGGAUGAUUGAAGGGAGUUGCUCCUAGUACGAGAGGACCGGAGUGAACGAACCUCUGGUGUUCGGGUUGUCACGCCAGUGGCACUGCCCGGUAGCUAAGUUCGGAAUCGAUAACCGCUGAAAGCAUCUAAGCGGGAAGCGAGCCCUGAGAUGAGUCAUCCCUGACCCCUUGAGGGUCCUAAAGGGCCGUUGGAGACCACAACGUUGAUAGGUGGGGUGUGUAAGCGCAGUGAUGUGUUGAGCUAACCCAUACUAAUUACCCGUGAGGCUUAACCAUACAACACCCAAGAAGUGUUCU